rnacentral:rRNA from 1 species
CCUACGGGAGGCAGCAGUGAGGAAUAUUGGUCAAUGGGCGCAAGCCUGAACCAGCCAAGUAGCGUGAAGGAUGACUGCCCUACGGGUUGUAAACUUCUUUUAUAAAAGAAUAAAGUGAGGCACGUGUGCCUUUUUGUAUGUACUUUAUGAAUAAGGAUCGGCUAACUCCGUGCCAGCAGCCGCGGUAAUACGGAGGAUCCGAGCGUUAUCCGGAUUUAGUGGGUUUAAAGGGAGCGUAGAUGGGUUGUUAAGUCAGUUGUGAAAGUUUGUGGCUCAACCUUAAAAUUGCAAUUGAUACUGGCAGUCUUGAGGACAGUUGAGGUAGGCGGAAUGCGUGGUGUAGCGGUGAAAUGCUUAGAGAUCACGAAGAACGCCGAUUGCGAAGGCAGCUUACUAAACUGCCACUGACAUUGAUGCUCGAAAGUGUGGGUAGCAAACAGGAUUAGAUACCCCGGUAGUC